GACGAACGCUGGCGGCGUGCCUAAUACAUGCAAGUAGAACGCAGUUGCGAACGGGUGAGUAACGCGUAGGUAACUGCCUGGUAGCGGGGGAUAACUAUUGGAAACGACAGCUAAUACCGCAUACUACCAGAUGGACCUGCGGUGUAUUAGCUAGUUGGUGGGGUAACGGCGCACCAAGGCAACGAUACAUAGUCGACCUGAGCGGGUGAACGGCCACACUGGGACUGAGACACGGCCCAGACUCCUAAUGGAAGCAGCAGUAGGGAAUCUUCGGAAAUGGACGGAAGUCUGACCGCGCAACGCCGCGUGAGUGAAGAAGGUUUUCGGAUCGGAAAGCUCUGUUGUGAGAGAAGCGGUAACUGACCAGAAAGGGCCGGCUAACUACGUGCCAGCAGCCGCGGUAAUUC
rnacentral:rRNA from 1 species